CAAAAACAUUUUGAACUAUUUCGAUUUAUCCGCGUCGAAAAGUUCGUUCCACGUCGCGACACGACGUAUCUCGUGAUAAACUUUCGAUCGUAAAGUGUAUUUUCGCGAAAUCGUGCCUCGGAUUGUGUAAAUUGUAUAUUUUGUGCUAGUGAUAUCGUAGUGACAAUUCAGAAAUAUUGGGCAAAAUUUUUAUCUUUAUCACACAGGUCCUCGUUAGAAAACGGUCAACCGUCGAUGCAAGAAUAUAGAACGAGAAUGCCCGCAUGGAAUUCCCUGAAUCUCGCAACUAUGCACGCGCAAUACUGUGAGUGUCACCUAUAUGCCGGAGAAUGCGAUUACAUUUGUGAAAAAGGAAAACCUCUAUUUUCGAGGCCAAUACACGCGAGGGGCGUGUAAUUCGUCGUGUAAGCACGUC